rnacentral:rRNA from 1 species
AGAGUUUGAUCCUGGCUCAGAAUCAACGCUGGCGGCGCGCCUAACACAUGCAAGUCGAACGAGAAAGUGGAGCAAUCCAUGAGUAAAGUGGCGUACGGGUGAGUAACACGUGGAUUAUCUGCCCUUUUGUGGGGAAUACCGCUGGGAAACCGGCGACAAUACCGCAUAAGCCCGAGAGGGGAAAGCAGCAAUGCGCAGAAGGAGGAGUCCGCGGUCGAUUAGUUAGUUGGCGGGGUAAAGGCCCACCAAGACUGUGAUCGAUAGCCGGCCUGAGAGGGCACACGGCCACACUGGCACUGAAACACGGGCCAGACUCCUACGGGAGGCAGCAGUGGGGAAUCUUGCACAAUGGGGGAAACCCUGAUGCAGCGACGCCGCGUGAGCGAUGAAGCCCCUCGGGGUGUAAAGCUCUUUCGGCAGGGAAGAUUAUGACGGUACCUGCAAAAGCAGCUGCGGCUAACUACGUGCCAGCAGCCGCGGUAAUACGUAGGCAGCAAGCGUUGUUCGGAGUUACUGGGCGUAAAGGGUGCGUAGGCGGCUUUUUAAGUUUGGUGUGAAAUCUCCCGGCUCAACUGGGAGGGUGCGCCGAAUACUGAGAGGCUAGAGUGUGGGAGAGGAAAGUGGAAUUCCUGGUGUAGCGGUGAAAUGCGUAGAUAUCAGGAGGAACACCGGUGGUGUAAACGGCUUUCUGGACCAUAACUGACGCUGAGGCACGAAAGCGUGGGUAGCAAACAGGAUUAGAUACCCUGGUAGUCCACGCCCUAAACGAUGCAUAUUUGGUGUGGGCCAUUCAUUUGGUCCGUGCCGGAGCUAACGCGUUAAAUAUGCCGCCUGGGGAGUACAGUCGCAAGGCUGAAACUCAAAGGAAUGACGAA